UCUUUAUCCACAUUAUAGCAGGGGGGUGUAAAGCCAUAACACCAUCUGUGUUCUGUUAGACAGGUAACUCUUUAUCCACAUUAUAGCAGGGGGUGUAAAGCCAUAACACCCUCUGUGUUCUGUUAGACAGGUAACUCUUUAUCCACAUUAUAGCAGGGGGUGUAAAGCCAUAACACCAUCUGUGUUCUGUUAGACAGGUAACUCUUUAUCCACAUUAUAGCAGGGGGUGUAAAGCCAUAACACCCUCUGUGUUCUGUUAGACAGGUAACUCUUUAUACACAUUAUAGCAGGGGGUGUAAAGCCAUAACACCAUCUGUGUUCUGUUAGACAGGUAACUCUUUAUCCACAUUAUAGCAGGGGGUGUAAAGCCAUAACACCCUCUGUGUUCUGUUAGACA